rnacentral:rRNA from 1 species
CAGUAGCCGCGGUAAUACGUAGGGGGCAAGCGUUAUCCGGGAUUACUGGGUGUAAAGGGAGCGUAGACGGUUAAACAAGUCUGAAGUGAAAUGCCGGGGCUCAACCCCGGAGCUGCUUUGGGAACUGUAGAACUGGAGUGUCGGAGGGGUCAGCGGAAUUCCCAGUGUAGCGGUGAAAUGCGUAGAUAUUGGGAGGAACACCGGCGGCGAAGGCGGCUUACUGGACGACAACUGACGUUGAGGCUCGAAGGCGUGGGUAGCAAACAGGAUUAGAUACCCCUGUAGUCCCUGUCUCUUAUAC